rnacentral:misc_RNA from 1 species
GUAUAGUGUUUAUAGGCAUAAAGCCCACUGAUACAUUCUAAUACAUACUAUGGGGUAUAUGAUAAAACAUAGGCCCAAACGACUCGAUUGCUCAAGCCUUCUGGGUCUACAAAAGGUGCACAGGUGGAAAUAUAAAGAUGACGGGCGUGCACAUGCUCCCUAGAGAGCCAGCAACAACCACAUCAGGUUUAUUCAAUAAUGAUCCUUCCGCAGGUUCACCUACGGAAA